rnacentral:rRNA from 1 species
UCGUGGAGCGAUUUGUCUGGUUAAUUCCGAUAACGAACGAGACCUUAACCUGCUAACUAGUUGCAGGUACUUUUGUAUCUGACACUUCUUAGAGGGACUGACUACGCUUAGUAGUCGGAAGUUUGAGGCAAUAACA